AUUGAACGCUGGCGGCAGGCCUAACACAUGCAAGUCGAGCGGUAGCACAGAGAGCUUGCUCUCGGGUGACGAGCGGCGGACGGGUGAGUAAUGUCUGAGAAACUGCCUGAUGGAGGGGGAUAACUACUGGAAACGGUAGCUAAUACCGCAUAACGUCGCAAGACCAAAGUGGGGGACCUUCGGGCCUCAUGCCAUCAGAUGUGCCCAGAUGGGAUUAGCUGGUAGGUGGGGUAACGGCUCACCUAGGCGACGAUCCCUAGCUGGUCUGAGAGGAUGACCAGCCACACUGGAACUGAGACACGGUCCAGACUCCUACGGGAGGCAGCAGUGGGGAAUAUUGCACAAUGGGCGCAAGCCUGAUGCAGCCAUGCCGCGUGUGUGAAGAAGGCCUUCGGGUUGUAAAGCACUUUCAGCGGGGAGGAAGGCGGUGAGGUUAAUAACCUCAUCGAUUGACGUUACCCGCAGAAGAAGCACCGGCUAACUCUGUGCCAGCCGCCGCAGUAA
rnacentral:rRNA from 1 species